GCAAGAUUAAAACUCAAAGGAAUAGACGGGGACCCGCACAAGUGGUGGAGCAUGUGGUUUAAUUCGAAGAUACGCGAAGAACCUUACCUAGCCUUGACAUUGAUAGAAUCUUCCAGAGAUGGAGGAGUGCCUUUCGGGGAACUUGAAAACAGGUGCUGCACGGCUGUCGUCAGCUCGUGUCGUGAGAUGUUGGGUUAAGUCCCGCAACGAGCGCAACCCUCGUCACUAGUUACUAACAGUUAGGCUGAGGACUCUAGUGAGACUGCCUUCGUAAGGAGGAGGAAGGUGAGGACGACGUCAAGUCAUCAUGGCCCUUACGGCUAGGGCAACACACGUGCUACAAUGGUUAGGACAGUGAGAAGCGAUACCGCGAGGUGGAGCCAAUCUAUAAACCUAAUCUCAGUUCGGAUUGUAGUCUGCAACUCGACUACAUGAAGCUGGAAUCACUAGUAAUCGUAGAUCAGCUAUGCUACGGUGAAUACGUUCCCGGGUCUUGUACUCACCGCCCGUCACACCAUGGGAGUUGAUUUCACCCGAAGCGGGGAAGCUAAACUGGCUACCCUCCACGGUGGAAUUAGCGACUGGGGUGAA
rnacentral:rRNA from 1 species